CCUACGGGAGGCAGCAGUGGGGAAUAUUGGACAAUGGGGGGAACCCUGAUCCAGCCAUGCCGCGUGUGUGAAGAAGGCCCUCGGGUUGUAAAGCACUUUCAGUGAGGAAGAACGCCUGGUGGUUAAUACCCAUCAGGAAAGACAUCACUCACAGAAGAAGCACCGUCUAACUCCGUGCCAGCAGCCGCGGUAAUACGGAGGGUGCGAGCGUUAAUCGGAAUUACUGGGCGUAAAGCGCGCGUAGGUGGCUUGAUAAGCCGGUUGUGAAAGCCCCGGGCUCAACCUGGGAACGGCAUCCGGAACUGUCAAGCUAGAGUGCAGGAGAGGAAGGUAGAAUUCCCGGUGUAGCGGUGAAAUGCGUAGAGAUCGGGAGGAAUACCAGUGGCGAAGGCGGCCUUCUGGACUGAAACUGACACUGAGGUGCGAAAGCGUGGGUAGCAAACAGGAUUAGAUACCCCAGUAGUC
rnacentral:rRNA from 1 species